UCGAAUGGGGAGAUUCAUCGUCAGCUCAUUUUGUAUAUAUAUAUGUUAUGAUAUAGGUUACUACUUUAUUGUAGUAUUGCUUGUACAUUCUUAUAUAUUUAGUUGCAAGAUGUUGUCGGCGUGCACUUCUUCCCUAGUAGGACGUCGCGACCCGUUGGGUGUUGGUCUACGGCCCAAAUGAUUAGUCUUUAAUAUAUUUAUUAUAUUAAAGUUCAUUGGUGUUUCCUGACCAUCUACUCGGCGGUACACAUACGGUAUUAAGCCGCAAUUAUAUGCGUUCAUUCCCGUCGCAAGCGAGGCAAAUUUCUAAUAGUACGGACCUAGUGCCGUCGUUGGUAUUUGCCAGCUGUUGGUUGUUACGGUGUUCUAGAACUGGCUAAUAAUAAUAAUUACCGGUCGGCGAUGCUACUGCUUUGGGUACUUUCAGGACCCGUCUUGAAACACGGACCAAGGAGUCUAACAUGUGCGCAAGUCAUUGGGAUUUUUUUUUUAAAAUUAAACCUAAAGGCAUAAUGAAAGUAAAGGUCGUCCUUGUGUCGACUAAGGGAAGAUGAGUUAUGUUAUGAUAUAGCUCCGCAUUCCCGGGGCGUCUCAUUCUUAUUAUAAGAAGAGGCGCACUUAG
rnacentral:rRNA from 1 species